UGUUGAAACACUGGUUCCCAUGCAAUAACCAAAGUUAAACAACGUUGAGCCUGGUCAGUACCUAGAUGGGUGACCAUUUGGGAAUACUAGGUGCUGUAAG